AUGAUGCUAAAUGUCAAAUAAAAUAUUAAUUAAAGUAAUAGUUUGGGUUUUAAAAAUCAUUUGUACUUUUUUGUAGAGAAGCUUUCUUUGUGUUACACAUAAUACUUCAUAUAAAGAUGUGACAUUAAUGAAUUUAAAUCAUAAUUAAAAUAUUAACAGAGUACAAAAAAAAAGAUCUCACAAGCAAAGGUAAUAGAUUAUAUAUAAUUUAGAUGUGUGUCCGUGACACAAGGUACAUGACCAAAUGCAAACAUUUAAAUUUAUGAUAAACCAACUACUACUUGUUUGAUAUUGUGAGGUAACGUAUAACAAAUAUAUUUAUAAAUGCAAAUUUCUCUCAACAUAGAAGAUAUGAUCUGAAACAGAAAAAGGAGCAAACACAGGAUGUGGUUAAUAUGUGACACAUGCACAGAAGAAUUUCCUUACACCUACAUAAUGUCUUACAAAGCAGCUGUAUAGAUGUAUAGAUAUAGCAUAUGUGUGAAGUCACAGCAAAAAAGUGUUGGGACAUACCUUUGGAGGAGAGACCCUUACAAAAAAUAAGUUUUUUCAAGUGUACUAUUAGUAGGGGGAGAGUGGGAUAAGAUGAGCCAUUUUUACUUAUGUGGCCCUCAAGAUAAGGGAAAAGGAGGCAGAAGUACAAUGAUAGUAUUUCAAGUAAUUUCAGGAUGUUUCCUAUCAUUUUAAAUGAUCAGAAUACAUCUAUGACAAAGGGUUCAGAAAAUAUGGCUUAUAAAAAAAGUGUUCCUCUGGCUCAAUUUACCCCAGGUUAGGGGUAAGUUGAUCCGAGUCAGUGGGUGGGUGCAAACUGACCAUCAAACUGAAUCUGAAUCAAACCCAUUUGAAAUUUUAAAGAUAAUAUACCUAUUUUAAAAACUAAUUUAAUUAUCAAAUUUCUUUGUAAAAUAAAUAUUUCUUUUUUUUAUAACUAAAUUAAACAACAUAAAACCAACCAAAUGAAGUUGAAAUUUCAGCAUCUUUAAUUGUUUGCAUUUCUGAAACAAUAUGUUGAACAUCAAAGUUGUAACCUUCCUAUAAACAGACUAAACAGAGAGUUUGAGUAAAAUUAAAUAAAAACUAAAUAAGAAUGAUUAAAUAUCAGUGAAACUAAUAAACAUUUUAAUCAAAAGGUUCUUGACAUGGUAGUUUUUAGUUGUCGACCAUGUUAUGCCAUUAGAGACUACAGAUGGAAAGAUAUAUAUGAUUAAACAUCCUCUGGUUCGUAUCAGAGAAGGAUUUGGUGUACUUGUACACUGUUCCUAAACAAAAAUAAAAUAAAAACUAAACCAGUUGGGUAAUAUUACAUUGAAAUGACACCAGUUUAUACUUCAGAUUUAACUUAAAUACAUUGCCUUAUGUGGGGGAAGUCAAAACGCUGGCUCAAUUUACCCCACAGCAUUUGGCUCACUUUGCCCCAUAGCUGCCAUUUUUGGAAAAGCUAGCUAGCUUACCAAUUCAGAAUAAUAUUUAGCUAAAUGACUUGAAUGGUUUUAUACGUUGCUAAAUCACCAAUAUGCAUCAUAAAUAGUUUUAGACCCGGACAAAUUUGCUUUGAUGUAACAGCCAUUACAUCUGUUAUGUUAAAAUUUAAAUUUGACAAGCCAAAAACAUUUUUUAAAGUAAAUAAGCGACUUCCACUCCUCCCAUGUGCUUCUCCUUUUCACAGUCUGGCAGAAAUUAUGGGUGGUUCUAAAAUAUAUGGUCAAAUGACAAUAAAAUGGUACAAUUGCCAAGAUACAGGGGGUGGGUCAACUUACCCACUGGCUCAUCUUACCCCACUCUCCCCUAUACUUCUUUCAAACUAAAAAAUAAUGUAUACUUUCAGUCUACCUUUUAUGUAUUUCUCAGAAAUAUACUUUAUGUACUUCUACUGCUGUAUAUUUGGCAAAUACUCUUGUACUCAAUUUUUUAUUUAUUUAAUUAAAGGUGCUCUAAGUGAUCCUGGGUGGAGUAACUUUCUGUUGACGUUCAAAGUGUUGUCAAACAAAACAGAGACUAGCUAGACCCUCGCUUGGCUUGGCUUGUAGUUGUGUUUACUCUUUUGAUUGAGUAGCCUAUUAAAUACCUUUUUUCCCAUAGUUUUACAUACUGUCUUAUAAACUUACAUUGUUUUAAAAUAUUGAUUUAUAAAGAAAACAUACUGUACACUGUAAAAAGUAAAACAUUGGAGUUUUUCGUUUGAUAUAUUUUUUUUCAUUCCAAUAGCCUAAAAUUAUUAGAUUGUUAAGUAAAAUUACAUUUUGUAAUUUAUUUGUCUUUCAAUCUAUUUUCUUAGAUCGAUACAAUAUAAAAUUAUAACAUAACAAUGUAAUUUAAAUUAUACAUUCGAUCAAACGACUUUUAAUAGAUUAAGCAUGGUUUGCGCAUGCGCACACAUGAAAACUCGAGAGAAGGUUCUGGAAGAGACCGAACGCAGCAGAAGCGGCAGAAGUCGGAGGAGGCGCGAAGCGAACAGGACACGUUUGUCAGGAAAGCUGCUGCUUGGUAGGCCUAGUUCCUGGUGCCAGUUUUGGUUGUCCAGUCUUCGCUGACACUGAAAGAUGACAAUUUAAUAUUUGACUGGGAAGAAUUGCAAAUGUUGUGGGAGAGGUGGCCAGCACUUUUUAAAAUGGAAGAGAUCAGUGCCGAGUUCAUGAGAAUCACAACGGAAAAAGGGUGGCGUGACAAAGGAAAAGAAUGGCAGGAUUUUACAUCGUUUAGAUGAGGAUAUGCCAGGUGAUGGACUGGAGCAAACAAUGGCCGUCUUAAUCAGUGAGACAGACAGACACCAGGGUUCUCAUUGAGUCCACAGAGGUCCUCAGUAACGUGCCCUCAACCGCAGCUGCUGUAGCAAUGCUGUUUGGACUAACAUAUGUGGUAUACCUCGAGUAUCCAAAAGAACUGAAAUUCACUUGAGUUUUUUCUGAAAGUUUUAAUGGAACUUGGCGCAAGAAAAAUGACCCCCAAAAUAUGUCGCCUCUCCACUCUGCUGCAUAGUCAAUGACUGACUGACAGCCUCCAUUUCAGUGCUUUGAUGAUCACAGGAUGGCAGAAAUUCUUUCACCCCAGUCUCCACUACAUCGUAUUAGUAGUUCAGUAGUUGUUUGUUGUUUACUGGAUGUGGCAAUAUCUAUGUUUUGUAUUUGAUUUACAUUUAUUUCUCUGAAUUACAUUUGUAUUUGUAAAACAAUGUUUGUUUUGCCAAAAAAGUCUAAUCUUAAAAACAGUGAUUUAAUAAAUCUUUUAAAAUAAUGUUUGAUCUG